UACAGAGGGUGCAAGCGUUGUUCGGAAUUAUUGGGCGUAAAGGGCGCGUAGGCGGUGCGGUAAGUCUGUAGUGAAAUCUCUGGGCUCAACUCAGAGUCUGCUGCAGAAACUGCCGUGCUUGAGUGUGGGAGAGGUGAGUGGAAUUCCCGGUGUAGCGGUGACAUGCGUAGAUAUCAGGAGGAACACCUGUGGCGAAAGCGGCUCACUGGACCACAACUGACGCUGAGGCGCGAAAGCUAGGGGAGCAAACAGG
rnacentral:rRNA from 1 species